rnacentral:rRNA from 1 species
CCCAGACUCCUACGGGAGGCAGCAGUGGGGAAUAUUGCACAAUGGGGGGAACCCUGAUGCAGCAACGCCGCGUGGGUGAAGAAGUACUCCGGUAUGUAAAACCCUGUCAGCAGGGAAGAAAAUGGCGGUACCUGACCAAGAAGCCCCGGCUAACUACGUGCCAGCAGCCGCGGUAAUACGUAGGGGGCAAGCGUUAUCCGGAUUUACUGGGUGUAAAGGGAGCGUAGACGGCAAGGCAAGUCUGGAGUGAAAGCCCGUGGCCCAACCACGGGACUGCUUUGGAAACUGUGUUGCUGGAGUGCAGGAGGGGUAAGCGGAAUUCCUAGUGUAGCGGUGAAAUGCGUAGAUAUUAGGAGGAACACCAGUGGCGAAGGCGGCCUGCUGGACAGCAACUGACGCUGAGGCGCGAAAGCGUGGGGAGCAAACAGGAUUAGAUACCCUCGUAG